AUUGCCUUGAAUGCAAGGCUCUAGUUAAAGAGGUUCUCUCCGCUCAAGUGUGCUGCUUAUCUUCCCUCAGAUGCCUGUGGCACCACUUCUUCUUUCUUUCAUUUGCCUAGUCAUCAUUUGGCAAACCCUCACGGUGCCUUCCUUCUCCUGCGUUAUACCUACGGCCAGCGUUCCCUCCCUGAAGCAGAGGACUGCCCCCUGGAGUGUCUGCAGUCUCACGCAUUCCCCACCUUCCUCGGGGCUUGCUUUACGUCUUCAUUCUUUGAAGACCUUUGGUUUAAGCAACCGAACACACCUGACGCUUGCCCAGGAAAGUCAACUCAGAAAAUUCCCGGAGAGCCAGGGAUCGUUAGGACUCGUUCUACUUCUGCUAAACUCAGAGAGCUCGAUUAAUUUCCCCAGAAAAUAAAACAGAAGAACUAUCCACGCUGCUCACCUUCUGUGCACCUGGCCCCUCCGAUCCUUGCUCCCCUGUUGGUGUCGGGCGAGAUGGACGAACUCUGAGGCUUCUGCCUAUUUUGGGAUGGACUCAGAAACAGCAGGAAUGUUCUGGCAAUGGCAGUGCGCACAUCCAGGGAGCCUCGGUUUGAAAACAGUGGCGUGCUUGCCUCGGAAGGCCUGGGUCUCAGUUCCAACAUCAUUAAUGCUCUGGCAGAAUCAGUGCUGCAUGUGGAUGCUGCUGCCUGCUGAGUGAGGAGACAGUGAGAUAUAGAAGACGCGUCCAAAAAAAUCUGCAUGGGCUCUCCCCUCCCUUCCCUUCCAAUUGCAGCGCACACCUGUGGCUCGAGCCUCCACGCCGGGACCGCCUGCUGCCCAGGAGCAAGUGCAAGUAAACCAGAGACAUCCCUCCAGCAUGUCACCUGCUCUGUCCUCCAGCUCUUCAGUGCUGAACGCUGGGUGUCUUUAAAGGCUGCCAUUUCUGGCGCUUGUGAGAGCAGCACUUUUCUAGAAGCUCCUAUGGGGCCUCUGCUUUCUGUAGGAACAGUGUCACAUGUGGCAAAUUACACUGCCUCUGGGAGAAAUAAAACUGUCAAACCACGCUGCAGUGGGGGCAGCGGACAGGCAAACAUACUCUUAACAGGUGUCCUGCUAGAGGGGAGAUCUCUGGAUGCAGCCUGCAUCUGGGCAGCUCAGUCCUAGCAAGGAGGUGCCCUUCACAGAAUGGGCAGUAGAAAACUUUUCUGCUCUUGACAGGUGUGGUGGUGGCGCAAGGGCUGAACGGAGCGGGUUGGCGCUGGCACAGUGGAGCCCUGAGGGCCUGCCUCCUCUCAGGAUGCUUCUCUGGGGCUGCUGCCCUAAGAAAUGACUAGUGGGGCACCCCCAUCCCCACCUCACCCUUCCCACAUAUCCACCAGCGGAUUUGAGCCUUUGCCAACUGCAAAACCAAAGAGAGCCAGGGCUGGGGCCAAGACUGUGGGCUCAGAGCCACUCUGGUGCAUGUGUCUGGCUCAUCCUUCACCUGGUCCUGUCUCUCAGAGGCCUCUGAGAAGAAGCGACAUCUGCUAGUUGCCACCAAUACAUUUCCCUUCCCCGACAGUGCUGCUAACCAGACGCGGGGACCAUUGG
rnacentral:lncRNA from 1 species